CUGAAGAAUCUGCUCUGGGAAGGGGCUGCUGCGCCUGCUUAGUGACCGUCUUUAAUUCUGGCUCUGGUGAUCCCCGCUUGUCAGAAGGAAGCCAUUGACGCGACAAGCAGGCUCUUAUCCAGGGCUUCUUAUCAUCAGCCAGAGGAGCCUGCGCUGGAAAUGAAAUUCCGAGCCACAACAAGGAAAGACUGCUUCCUUAAUUGAGCCUCUCCCUUUUGAAGUCAUCUCCCCACAGAGCCGGGAGCUGGCAGGUCCUUUGGCCAGCAUAACCCCUAUGUAAUCUCUUGCUCACCAGAAGCAGAUGCUGCACAGAGAGGGAGGCUUUUAUGAAAGGCGUUAAAUAAGGUUUCUCAACCUUGCAUAUGCCGGCCAGGCAGAGGGAGGGCCGUUUUUCAGAAAAGCAACUGAUCAAAGACAUCAAGAUUCUGGCCCUUAGGGUUUUCUUGCCAAUACACCUCAGUCAGGAUUCUGAAGUGGGGGUUCUAGCACUCCGAACGACUUCCCAUCCAGUCUUGCU
rnacentral:lncRNA from 1 species